rnacentral:rRNA from 1 species
GCUCAUGAUGAACGCUGGCGGCGUGCCUAACACAUGCAAGUCGAACGAAGCAAUUAAGAUGAAGUUUUCGGAUGGAAUCUUGAUUGACUGAGUGGCGGACGGGUGAGUAACGCGUGGAUAACCUGCCUCACACUGGGGGAUAACAGUUAGAAAUGACUGCUAAUACCGCAUAAGCGCACAGUGCCGCAUGGCAGUGUGUGAAAAACUCCGGUGGUGUGAGAUGGAUCCGCGUCUGAUUAGCCAGUUGGCGGGGUAACGGCCCACCAAAGCGACGAUCAGUAGCCGACCUGAGAGGGUGACCGGCCACAUUGGGACUGAGACACGGCCCAAACUCCUACGGGAGGCAGCAGUGGGGAAUAUUGCACAAUGGGCGAAAGCCUGAUGCAGCGACGCCGCGUGAGUGAAGAAGUAUUUCGGUAUGUAAAGCUCUAUCAGCAGGGAAGAAAAUGACGGUACCUGACUAAGAAGCCCCGGCUAACUACGUGCCAGCAGCCGCGGUAAUACGUAGGGGGCAAGCGUUAUCCGGAUUUACUGGGUGUAAAGGGAGCGUAGACGGCGAAGCAAGUCUGAAGUGAAAACCCAGGGCUCAACCCUGGGACUGCUUUGGAAACUGUUUUGCUAGAGUGUCGGAGAGGUAAGUGGAAUUCCUAGUGUAGCGGUGAAAUGCGUAGAUAUUAGGAGGAACACCAGCGGCGAAGGCGGCUUACUGGACGAUAACUGACGUUGAGGCUCGAAAGCGUGGGGAGCAAAACAGGAUUAGAUACCCUGGUAGUCCACGCCGUAAACGAUGAAUGCUAGGUGUUGGGGGGCAAAGCCCUUCGGUGCCGCCGCAAACGCAGUAAGCAUUCCACCUGGGGAGUACGUUCGCAAGAAUGAAACUCAAAGGAAUUGACGGGGGCCCGCACAAGCGGUGGAGCAUGUGGUUUAAUUCGAAGCAACGCGAAGAACCUUACCAAGUCUUGACAUCCCCCUGACGGGCCGGUAACGCGGCCUUUCCUUCGGGACAGGGGAGACAGGUGGUGCAUGGUUGUCGUCAGCUCGUGUCGUGAGAUGUUGGGUUAAGUCCCGCAACGAGCGCAACCCUUAUCCUUAGUAGCCAGCACGUGAAGGUGGGCACUCUAGGGAGACUGCCAGGGAUAACCUGGAGGAAGGUGGGGAUGACGUCAAAUCAUCAUGCCCCUUAUGAUUUGGGCUACACACGUGCUACAAUGGCGUAAACAAAGGGAAGCGAGACAGUGAUGUGGAGCAAAUCCCAAAAAUAACGUCCCAGUUCGGACUGUAGUCUGCAACCCGACUACACGAAGCUGGAAUCGCUAGUAAUCGCGAAUCAGAAUGUCGCGGUGAAUACGUUCCCGGGUCUUGUACACACCGCCCGUCACACCAUGGGAGUCAGCAACGCCCGAAGUCAGUGACCCAACCGAAAGGAGGGAGCUGCCGAAGGCGGGGCAGGU